AGAGUUUGAUCNUGGCUCAGGAUGAACGCUAGCGGCAGGCUUAAUACAUGCAAGUCGUGGGGCAUCACGGUGUAGCAAUACAUGGGUGGCGACCGGCAAACGGGUGCGUAACACGUACGCAACUUACCCAUUACAGAGGGAUAGCCCAGGGAAACUUGGAUUAAUACUUCAUAUUAUAUAGGACUGGCAUCAGUUUUAUAUCAAAGCUACGGCGGUAAUGGAUGGGCGUGCGGUUGAUUAGAUAGUUGGCGGGGUAACGGCCCACCAAGUCUACGAUCAAUAGCUGAUGUGAGAGCAUGAUCAGCCACACGGGCACUGAGACACGGGCCCGACUCCUACGGGAGGCAGCAGUAAGGAAUAUUGGGCAAUGGACGCAAGUCUGACCCAGCCAUGCCGCGUGAAGGAUGAAGGUCCUCUGGAUUGUAAACUUCUUUUAUCUGGGGCGAAAACAACUCUUUCUAGAGUUCUUGACAGUACCAGAGGAAUAAGCACCGGCUAACUCCGUGCCAGCAGCCGCGGUAAUACGGAGGGUGCAAGCGUUAUCCGGAUUCACUGGGUUUAAAGGGUGCGUAGGCGGGCAGGUAAGUCAGUGGUGAAAUCCCCGAGCUUAACUCGGGAACUGCCGUUGAUACUAUCUGUCUUGAAUACUGUGGAGGUAAGCGGAAUAUGUCAUGUAGCGGUGAAAUGCUUAGAUAUGACAUAGAACACCAAUUGCNAANGCAGCUUGCUACACGGUCAUUGACGCUGAGGCACGAAAGCGUGGGGAUCAAACAGGAUUAGAUACCCUGGUAGUCCACGCCCUAAAC
rnacentral:rRNA from 1 species